rnacentral:rRNA from 1 species
UAAUACGUAGGUGGCAAGCGUUGUCCGGAUUUACUGGGCGUAAAGAGCGCGCAGGCGGCUGGUCAAGUCCGAUGUGAAAUCUCCCGGCUCAACUGGGAAACUGCAUCGGAAACUGAUCAGCUUGAAGGUGGGAGAGGGUAGUGGAAUUCCCGGUGUAGUGGUGAAAUGCGUAGAUAUCGGGAGGAACACCAGUGGCGAAGGCGACUACCUGGCCCAUUCUUGACGCUGAGGCGCGAAAGCUAGGGGAGCGAACGGG